UACGGAGGGUGCGAGCAUUAAUCGGAAUUAUUGGGCGUAAAGGGCGCGUAGGCGGGGAAGUAAGUCAGGUGUGAAAUUCCGGAGCUCAACUUCGGAGCUGCACAUGAAACUGCUUUUCUAGAGGGUAGGCGGAGGAAGUGGAAUUCCACAAGUAGCGGUGAAAUGCGUAGAGAUGUGGAAGAACACCGGUGGCGAAAGCGGCUUUCUAGCUUAAACCUGACGCUGAGGCGCGAAAGCAAGGGGAUCAAACGGG
rnacentral:rRNA from 1 species